AAGCAUAAACAUGUUGAUUGGUGAAUAUUUAAAUAAUGAUGACAUAUGUUUUUAACUUAAAGUUUCUACAUUAACGACAGAUGACUGAAAUGAACGUUUCUUUCUUUUUUAUGAUUCAACCAAGCACACAGAAGCUUUUGGUACUCUUUCUACUGCACUGGCUCCACUGCAAUGUGAAAUGUACCAGUUGAGACAUAGAGGGCUAUAGUCUCAUGACUUUAACAAGUGUGGAGGUGACUUCAAGAGUAAAUACAAAGAAAAGCCUCUGUUUCAUGAAGAGUAGUUCUGUAAAGAAAGGUUUAUGGACACAAAGACCACCUUGAACCUGUUAAAAUAACAGGAGAUAACAACCACCUCGUGAUUUCCCUGCCUCUACCUACCCAGUGCUAGAAUUCCAUUCCUGGCUCACUUAGUGGUUGAAGAGCUGUAAUUUUUUUAAUCUAUACUUAUAUGAAGCAUUUGCUUCCAUAAUUCAUGCGGCCUCAAGUUUUUGUGAUGAGAGAAGAACUUGCCGUUUUUGAAAACGUGAACUCGGUUGGAAAACAGAGACGGGGGAGACACUGAAUAGGCAUGCACCAAUUAGCUAUGUUUGCUCUAAGUGCUAGAUUAAAGGCUCCAUAACUGAAGAGAUGUUUGCCGUGACUAUUGCAAUUGUGAUCUUGCUGAUGUACAUGCAGUAACCAUUAUGGUAAUGGACAGCUCUAGAAUUGGAAUUUUAAAAUGAGGAAACUUGGAGAAAUUUUUUUAAGGCAAGAAGAUUUUGCCUGUCUCCACUUGCCAAAGACACUAAAAAUCAUUUAUUUUUACAAAUUUUAUUCAAGGACUCAAGAAGAUGUCAACGCAAUAUUAAGAAGUCAGAUCGUAACCCUCUAUUCCUUUGUGUCUAUCAAUGUUCGUGUGUGCCAUGGAAAAUCAGGAGAGUUUUUCAAUGUUUACAAAAU